UACGGGGGGAGCAAGCGUUGUUCGGAUUUACUGGGCGUAAAGGGCGCGUAGGCGGCCACCGCAAGUCGACUGUGAAAUCUCCGGGCUUAACCCGGAAAGGUCAGCCGAUACUGCGGGGCUAGAGUGCAGAAGGGGCAACUGGAAUUCUCGGUGUAGCGGUGAAAUGCGUAGAUAUCGAGAGGAACACCUGCGGCGAAGGCGGGUGCUGGGCUGACACGUGACGCUGGAGGCGCGAAAGCUAGGGGAGCGAACGGG
rnacentral:rRNA from 1 species